UGCCGGAGCCGCUCGGUUCCCACCAGCCCCUGGGUCCUCAGGUAGCCGUGCUGGCAAAAGGGUGGCAGCUUCUGGCGCGUUAGGGCGAAGAAGAAGCAGGAUUCUACACAGAAACAAAAGAAUGAGAAAGGAAGAACCCCUGGAUUCUUCCACACUUGGAGCAGGAAGAGGUGCUGGUGAAAUGUGAGGCGGGGGUAGGGCAGGCUACUCACUCCUUCAAGAGGACGAUGUCUGCCAGCACGCCGAACAUCUGGUACAGCCCAGAGGCCUCGUUGACGCGGCGGAUGAUGGAGGCAGUCAGCUGUGUGAUGGGGCACUCAGUGGAGGGCCAGGCCACGCCAUGGUGGCGCCACUCCAGCAGGCGGUGGACAGCACGUGCUGAAAUGGCCAGAGGGAGGACACACAGGCUGUACUUCAAAUUUUUAUCUUUUGUGCCAGGAAGUGAUCCAUCAAAUUCUGGGAACUCAGUGAACACUUGGGCACAACCGCAAGAAGAGGCCUCAGGAUUGGGGGCCCACACCCCACACUGAGCACUGUUCUCAGUUCUGCCUCUGGAGAGCAGACAGGGGCGAUGGUUCCAGGAAUGGGCGUGGCUAGACGGGACAGCAGCCUCAGAGUUAGCUCUCCCCAACAAGACAGCUGUGCUGUCACUGUGACCACCCCCAUGAGCUGGGGGAAAUCCAGACACAAAGCCUUCCCCUGAAAGCGGUUCUCUCUCUCUCUCUGUCUCUGUCGCUCUUUUCAUGUCAGGACCUAGCACAGGCAGGCAGGAUUUGACUAGUCCCCUUCUUCACUCAGAUAAAAACAGAGACACAGAGAGAGGGAGAGAUACCACAGAACUGGCGCUUGCCCCUGUGUCACUGAGCCACUCCCAGGUGGUCCUGGGGCUUGAAGCUGGAUUGCACCUGUGGUGAGGCACACACCCUACCUACCAGCUGAGCUUGGUCCCUCACAGUCUUAUUUCUGUCAGAGAAUUCCACAUGAAAUAUUUUGCUCCAAUCUGUCAUGAAGUCUUAUUCGGAGAGGCUUUCUCAUGUAGGUAGGGACAGUAAAGUAACAGCUGUCUCACAUGAAAGGGAGGUAUCUCUGUACCAUCAGGGCUGCUGUAUGCAGCUGGGGAGCUGAGGCACCUCACAUGGAAGCCCCCAGAGUGAAUCAGCACCACUGCCAAAUUCAGACAGUUCACACGCAGGUGACUCUGCCAACCUGCAGCUGCCAGCCGGGCCUGUAGGCACCAGACACCUGGCUUCCUGGCAGAAUAAAGGCUAGGCUGAGUUUUGUAAAAGGUGGGGGAAUGACACUUCUGGAGAAGUUUGGGGUGUAUGUCUGGCAAAAGGAGCGAGUUUGGGGGCUGGGAGCUGGUGGACCUGGUUGAGCACACACGUUACCAUGCACAAGGAUCCAAGUUCACACAUUCCCCCCGCCUCCAUUCUCCACCUUCAGGGGAAACUGUACAAGCGGUGAAACAGGUCUGUAGGUGUCUCUCUUUCUCCCUUUCUACCUCCUUCAAUUUCUCUCUGUCCUAGCAAAUAAAAAGUAGAAAGAAGAAAAAAAUAAAACGAAGCAAAAUGGA